rnacentral:rRNA from 1 species
AGACGUCUACAUUGAUACCCGCGUAGUCCCAGCCGUAAACUAUGCGCGUUAGGUGUAUCGGUGACCACGAGUCACCGAGGUGCCGAAGGGAAACCGUGAAACGUGCCGCCUGGGAAGUACGGUCGCAAGGCUGAACUUAAAGGAAUUGGCGGGGGAGCACCACAACGGGUGGAGCCUGCGGUUUAAUUGGACUCAACGCCGGGAAGCUCACCGGAUAAGACAGCGGAAUGAUUGCCGGGCUGAAGACUCUGCAUGACUAGCUG